rnacentral:rRNA from 1 species
CAUGGCUCAAAUUGAACGCUGGCGGAAUGCUUUCCUCCUGAAAGUCGAACGGCAGCACGGGGGCAACCUUGGUGGCGAGUGGCGAACGGGUGAGUAAUACAUCGGAACGUGCCCAGUCGGGGGGGAUAACGUAGCGAAAGUUACGCUAAUACCGCAUACGAUCUACGGAUGAAAGCGGGGGAUCGCAAGACCUCGCGCGAUUGGAGCGGCCGAUGUCAAAUUAGGUAGUUGGUGGGGUAAAGGCUCACCAAGCCGACAAUCUGUAGCUGGUCUGAGAGGACGACCAGCCACACUGGGACUGAGACACGGCCCAAACUCCUACGGGAGGCAGCAGUGGGGAAUUUUGGACAAUGGACGCAAGUCUGAUCCAGCCAUUCCGCGUGCAGGACGAAGGCCUUCGGGUUGUAAACUGCUUUUGUACGGAACGAAAAAGCCUUGGUUAAUACCCGGGGUCCAUGACGGUACCGUAAGAAUAAGCACCGGCUAACUACGUG